UACGUAGGGUGCAAGCGUUAAUCGGAAUUACUGGGCGUAAAGGGUGCGUAGGCGGUUGUUUAAGUCUGUCGUGAAAUCCCCGGGCUUAACCUGGGAAUUGCGAUGGAGACUGCAAGGCUAGAAUCUGGCAGAGGGGGGUAGAAUUCCACGUGUAGCAGUGAAAUGCGUAGAGAUGUGGAGGAACACCGAUGGCGAAGGCAGCCCCCUGGGUCAAGACUGACGCUCAUGCACGAAAGCGUGGGGAGCAAACAGG
rnacentral:rRNA from 1 species